rnacentral:lncRNA from 1 species
GGUCGAAUUUGCUAUGAGAAAACCAGCAGCAAGCAAGCAAACUACUGGGCUCAAGAAACAAGUGCAAGUAGCAAAGAUAUUCGUCCUCCCUUGUGAAUGACCCUAGAAGUUGAGGCUUAAUGAACCCAAAACUUGGAAGAAACCAAAGCUAAGGGUCAAGACUCAAUAUCGAGUCUAUCCAACAACAAAAUAUCAUUUGCACCCAAUGAUAAAUCGGAUAAGCCUCAUCGCUACACAGUACUUGAGACACAAAGGAAUUUCAAAGUCUACUGAAAAUACAUGCUAGACUCCAACUACACAAACAUCCAUGCUUGAAUUCAGUCCUAAGUUAAACUCACAAACAAAUCUGAAACUUCAAACCAAUUAACUCUUUCUCAAUAAAACAGUAACAAAUUUGAGGAAUUAGCAGUCUGCUUGAAUCCAAAAAUUAACACCCAAACUCUUAAAGAGCACAAGUUCAUUUAUAUAUAUCAUACUACAAACGUGAGACAACUAAGAUAACAUGAGUAAUUCAGGACUUAUUACAAAACACUAAAGAGAUAAAGGGAAACAAAAGAGAUAAAAUUCAAAUGCUACUUGUUUUCAGUCAGGCUCCAACUCAAAAUACAUCACUUGUGGACAAUGAUUCGAAAAUACCUAAAUAUAGAAAAACAAAAUCAGAAAGUCAAGCUGGAGAUCAAGAAGAAGAAGCAGCAAUAAGAGUAAUACAGCAAAGAAGAAAUGAGCAACAGGAUCAGCUCAAAAGUUCAACAAUGGAACAGUAAUCAAGCAGCUCUUAAACCAUCUUUUAAUCCCAGGAUAAGUCAGCAAUUCUUUGAAGGUUUCAAAAUUAAAAGAUUAACUUGAAAAAUUAGACCAAUUCCUACCCCAAAAUGCCAAAGUUUUCAAGUAUUUCUCAACUCAGCCACUCUCAACCUUCCUCAGAAAUUUCGUCUCUAAAGUCUGACUUGCUAAAGAAGAAAAGAUGCCUUUAUAGGAAAGUCUCAGGGCAACAUAAAAGGGAUUCAUAUUUGCAUUUCUACCCUUUUUAAAUUCUUAUUUUUGGUUACGUAACCUUAAUUUAAAAUCAGAUUUCUAAAAUAACUCCAAUCCCCUGCUUCCUAGAAGUAUCCCAAGCCUGAUAGGAGAGAUUCUUUGUCCUAAAUUCCCUAAUUUAUCCCUUAGGGCCCGGUUAAUUAUCUUAGAAAACUAAAUGGAUCAAAGGUCAGAUUGGCCUAAUGGUUUAACUCAAAAAUCCUAGGUUUGCAAGAGUAGAUUAAAUUUAUGAUUUCAAAGCCCGUAUAGAAUCAGUGGGCUAAGUAGAAUUGCUCAAGAGAAAAAUCGGAUUUCUUUUCUUUGAAAACCAGAAAAUGAAAUAACACAAAGAAAUAGAAAAAUUAAAAUGACAUGCAUGAACAAACUCGAUUUUAAAACACGCAAACAUAACUGAUUUAAAACGAAAACAAAAUGGAAAAGACAACGUAAUAGGAGAUGGAGACUAGAACUUAAACGAAACAAAAUAAAGAACAGGGAGAAAAUGAAAGAAAGGAGAAGAACUGAAAAAUACCUAAACCAAGUGGAAAAAUCUUGAAAAUCUUCAAAGGAGACUUUGAUUUUUGAACGAAAUGGGCCUUAAUCGUGUGUUCUCAAACGAAAACACACGAAUAAAGCCAAUUUCGGCCUUGAACCUUCGUUAAACUCACUAAUUUGGGUUUUGGAAUUUUAGGGUUCAUGCCUUUGAUUUAAGAUUCGACAAGAUCUGCGAUGAUUCGAAGGAAAAUGGUGCUGGAUUUGGUAUGAGGAGGCCACGAGGGUUUUGGGGUGUGGAUUUGGGGUGGUUUGGAGGUGGCGCUGUCGGUGGAGGUGGAGGUGGAGCUGUCGGCAGAGGUGGCGCUGCCGGUGGAGGCGGCGCUGUCGGUGGAGGGGGCGCUGUCGGUGGACGGCGUCUCUAGGGCUACUGGGCUAGAGACAAUGAGGAUUGAGAAGGGGGUUCUGAGGGAGGUAGGGCUAUUUCAGAGUGUUUUAUACAGGAGAGGGGUCGAGUUCUGAUCCGUUAGAUUGAAAGAGAUCAAUAGUUG